rnacentral:rRNA from 1 species
GCAGUCGAGCGAGUCUGUCUUGAGAUCGGAGUGCUUGCACUCUGUGAAACAAGAUACAGGCUAGCGGCGGACGGGUGAGUAACGCGUGGGUAACCUGCCCAAGAGAUCGGGAUAACACCUGGAAACAGAUGCUAAUACCGGAUAACAACAGAUGAUGCCUAUCAACUGUUUAAAAGAUGGUUCUGCUAUCACUCUUGGAUGGACCUGCGGUGCAUUAGCUAGUUGGUAGGGUAACGGCCUACCAAGGCGAUGAUGCAUAGCCGAGUUGAGAGACUGAUCGGCCACAUUGGGACUGAGACACGGCCCAAACUCCUACGGGAGGCAGCAGUAGGGAAUCUUCCACAAUGGACGCAAGUCUGAUGGAGCAACGCCGCGUGAGUGAAGAAGGGUUUCGGCUCGUAAAGCUCUGUUGUUGGUGAAGAAGGACAGGGGUAGUAACUGACCUUUGUUUGACGGUAAUCAAUUAGAAAGUCACGGCUAACUACGUGCCAGCAGCCGCGGUAAUACGUAGGUGGCAAGCGUUGUCCGGAUUUAUUGGGCGUAAAGCGAGUGCAGGCGGCUCGAUAAGUCUGAUGUGAAAGCCUUCGGCUCAACCGGAGAAUUGCAUCAGAAACUGUCGAGCUUGAGUACAGAAGAGGAGAGUGGAACUCCAUGUGUAGCGGUGAAAUGCGUAGAUAUAUGGAAGAACACCGGUGGCGAGGGCGGCUCUCUGGUCUGUUACUGACGCUGAGGCUCGAAAGCAUGGGUAGCGAACAGGAUUAGAUACCCUGGUAGUCCAUGCCGUAAACGAUGAGUGCUAAGUGUUGGGAGGUUUCCGCCUCUCAGUGCUGCAGCUAACGCAUUAAGCACUCCG